AUGAUACAAGUAGAUUGAUUCUUGAAAUGACUUGAUAUCACAGCGGAUAGCCUAGAACUACUCCUGAAGAGAGCUUCAAAUCAUUACUUUGGUGUCUUGUGACCAUGUCCUUUGGUUUGGUUAGCAGCUGUAGACAUUAUGCGCAGACGUCCAGCAAUUUCUGUGAAGGAAGGCCUGGCUGCAGGAUUAGGGGCCCAACACUGCUCCAUCAACCUUUUCCAGUCGGGAUCACAGAAAUUCGGAAUGGCUGGUCUCAAUGUGUUAUUUACAAUUCCACCUAUGAUUGCACCAUAGUGCAUGUUAGCGUAUGGCUCUUCACCAGUGAGAAUCUCCCAUAGCACAAUUCCAAAAGAAAAAACGUCAACCUUUUCUGAGACCUUGUUGCUGCCACCAUUUAGCAGUUCUGGCGCCAUCCAUGGAAGAGUUCCCCGCACACC
rnacentral:misc_RNA from 1 species